rnacentral:rRNA from 1 species
GAGUUUGAUCCUGGCUCAGAUUGAACGCUGGCGGCAUGCCUUACACAUGCAAGUCGAACGGCAGCACGGAGCUUGCUCUGGUGGCGAGUGGCGAACGGGUGAGUAAUAUAUCGGAACGUACCCUAGAGUGGGGGAUAACGUAGCGAAAGUUACGCUAAUACCGCAUACGAUCUAAGGAUGAAAGUGGGGGAUCGCAAGACCUCAUGCUCGUGGAGCGGCCGAUAUCUGAUUAGCUAGUUGGUAGGGUAAAAGCCUACCAAGGCAUCGAUCAGUAGCUGGUCUGAGAGGACGACUAGCCACACUGGAACUGAGACACGGUCCAGACUCCUACGGGAGGCAGCAGUGGGGAAUUUUGGACAAUGGGCGAAAGCCUGAUCCAGCAAUGCCGCGUGAGUGAAGAAGGCCUUCGGGUUGUAAAGCUCUUUUGUCAGGGAAGAAACGGUGAGAGCUAAUAUCUCUUGCUAAUGACGGUACCUGAAGAAUAAGCACCGGCUAACUACGUGCCAGCAGCCGCGGUAAUACGUAGGGUGCAAGCGUUAAUCGGAAUUACUGGGCGUAAAGCGUGCGUAGGCGGUUUUGUAAGUCUGAUGUGAAAUCCCCGGGCUCAACCUGGGAAUUGCAUUGGAGACUGCAAGGCUAGAAUCAGGCAGAGGGGGGUAGAAUUCCACGUGUAGCAGUGAAAUGCGUAGAUAUGUGGAGGAACACCGAUGGCGAAGGCAGCCCCCUGGGUCAAGAUUGACGCUCAUGCACGAAAGCGUGGGAGCAACAGGAUUAGAUACCCUGGUAGUCCACGCCCUAAACGAUGUCUACUAGU